GAAAAGUAGUUUUCUUGAUAUCAUCUAAAUCUCAAGAUUGAUCUUACAACCAAAACUUUUAGGCCAGCGCUGCCAAUGUUAAAUGAUUAACCAUACAAGAAAUACAGACAAACACAGACGUUUCAUAACAAUCAAUUCAACAGCGAGGAAAAAAUAAAGAACUGUCACUGUCUGCAAAGAAUUCUGGUGAAGCAUUUUGUCCAGACAUAGCCAUUAAUAAAUGAAAAGGCAA
rnacentral:lncRNA from 1 species